GUGCUCACUUCAGCAGUACUUAUACUAACAUUGGUACCUUACAAAGAAGACUAGCAUGGCCCCUGCACAAGGAUGACAACAUACAAACUUGAGAAGUGUUUCAGAUUUUU